rnacentral:lncRNA from 1 species
CCAAUUUAAUUCGUUAUAUUUAAUGCACUCUAUGUGUCAAUGUGGCUUUCCUAAUUAUUUAUAAUAGUUUCUGAAUUUUUAUAAUGAUUUCUAUUUUUCCCAAAAACUUUCAUAAAAAUUAUAACUAUGUCAAAAAAGAAGUAAAAUAAAUUAUUUGUGGGAGUUGACGUUGAAGGAGGAAAAAUGGAGGGAGAAGGUGGGCGGCACGACCUCGAGCCACAACGAAAGACAACGUUCCUUCGCUUUUUCCAAUUUGUUGAGUAGAGAAGACGAACAUGAAUAGAAUGAACCGGUACUGGAAGGUGAGUGUGUGCAACCAAUGGCAAUGAUGGGUAAUUUCUACCUAACUCCACAAGCAGUUAUGAAGCACCCUUUUAUGGAGCACCCCCUGAGGAGCUAAACAAAAAUAAUGAAUCUAGCCCCCAGAUUGACCAUUUUGAUAAAUCUAAAUUUAGUGGAUCUAGAGCAUUUGGGAAAUUUUUGGUGGAGUGGAGCUAUUUUUGGUGAACCUGGAGUUAGUGAAUCUCUAUCAAACAGGUCCAUCCAAGUAUAAGGACUGGUAGUUUCCCAAGGUCUGGUGUGCCAAUGGGCCAAUGCUCCCAACACUAGAUUUGCAGCAUGUAGAUGUAACCUCCA